AUUGACAACACCACUGAGUGGGAACUCAAUUCACACUGCCUGCACUGACUGAAAUCAGGCGUGUCCAGCACUACACCAUCAAACCCAUUGUUUUGAGCGAGUGGCUCAGAAUUUCCCUCUCAUUCUUCAGAGGGUCACAAGUGAGCUGGAGCCUAUCCGAGCUGACGUCGGGGUACACUCAGGACUGGUCGUCAACCAAUCGCAGGGCACAGUCUACCCGGCGAGAACAUAACCACUAACAUUUAUAAUUGGACCACAGCAGCGAGCAAGGCAAAGCACAAUAUGGUUGGUACAAUUCAGCAGUGAUUCCCAACUGGUUGGUCGGGACCCAGAAGUGGGUCGCGGACAGGUAGUAAAACAUUUAUAGCAUAAUAAGACUAUUAAAACUGUCACAGUUG